rnacentral:rRNA from 1 species
ACGUAGGGUGCGAGCGUUAAUCGGAAUUACUGGGCGUAAAGCGUGCGCAGGCGGUUUUGUAAGCCAGAUGUGAAAUCCCCGGGCUUAACCUGGGAAUGGCAUUUGGGACUGCAAGGCUGGAGUGUGGCAGAGGAGACUGGAAUUCCUGGUGUAGCAGUGAAAUGCGUAGAUAUCUGGAAGAACACCCGUGGCUAAGGCGGCUCUCUAGUACGGUACUGACGCUGAGACGCGAAAGCGUGGGGAGCGAACAGGA